rnacentral:lncRNA from 1 species
UGUGGUGAAGUCCUUAGGACUAUUUAGACUCAACAAAGGAGGAUUUAUCAUUUAGUCCUUAAAUCUGUUCGCGACCAAAUGAUAUAUUAUUAUCAAGGAUGACAAUAUUUAUCAAGCAUAGGUCGUUGUGUGCCAUAUAGGUUGGUUGUCCUCUUAACUAAUGAGUGUGGAGACACUGGUAUGGCAUACAGGUGAGAUGUAAGGGUACAUCUGCACUGAACGUGACCGACUCCGGAGCUAUUUCUGCUGUCAAGAUUUGCUCCGAUGGAAUAUGGAUAUAAAUAUCCCUCUGACCUGAGACCGCCACGGUGACUUACAAGCAACUCACUGCACUUAGGCACUGGACUACCUGAAUUUUUAAUUCAGUGACGGAAGGCUGCUGGGUGUAGUCAAGUACUUGACUUAUCAGUGCGUGUGUCAAGAUGGGAUUGACCACUCUAGUUUAGGAGCUAUGUACAGUCGUGUUUCAAUUUAGCAAAAUCUUGGCCAGGAUAGUCCUUGUGAGGAGUCACAGGACUGUUUGAGUUGAGCACGAUUCGGAUGAUCUGAUCAGGGUUGACAGUUUAACCCUGAGUCAUCCUAAACACAGGGGUCAAAAGGAUGAAUUAUACAGUAACCAUAUUCAUGUAGGUUCUGAGUAUUGCGAUUGCGACUCUUCGACCUAUCCGGACGUCGGGUACCAUUGCUAGAUGGUCACUUCGAUUAGUACAGGAAUUGGUUCCUGUGCUACCAACUUAGGUUCGAACCUGUGGGGUCACACACAUUAGAGGUUCCUAUCUGAUCUGAUGGCUGGUGUAGAAUCCUUCAUGUUUGGGACUCAGUGAUCGAGAAUCAGGAUUCUCUGAUCACGAGUUCUACACAUUAUGGGUACCGGGGUCAUGA